UCCGGAGCUAACGCGUUAAAUCGACCGCUGGGGAGUACGGCCGCAAGGUUAAAACUCAAAUGAAUUGACGGGGGCCCGCACAAGCGGUGGAGCAUGUGGUUUAAUUCGAUGCAACGCGAAGAACCUUACCUGGUCUUGACAUCCAUAGAAUCUUUCAGAGAUGAGAGAGUGCCUUCGGGAGCUAUGAGACAGGUGCUGCAUGGCUGUCGUCAGCUCGUGUUGUGAAAUGUUGGGUUAAGUCCCGCAACGAGCGCAACCCCUAUCCUUUGUUGCCAGCACGUAAUGGUGGGAACUCAAAGGAGACUGCCGUUGAUAAAGCGGAGGAAGGUGGGGACGACGUCAAGUCAUCAUGGCCCUUACGAUCAGGGCUACACACGUGCUACAAUGGCGUAUACAAAGGGAUGCGAAGGUGCGAACUGGAGCGGACCUCACAAAGUACGUCUAAGUCCGGAUUGGAGUCUGCAACUCGACUCCAUGAAGUCGGAAUCGCUAGUAAUCGUGAAUCAGAAUGUCACGGUGAAUACGUUCCCGGGCCUUGUACACACCGCCCGUCACACCAUGGGAGUGGGUUGCACCAGAAGUAGAUAGCUUAACCUUCGGGAGGGCGUUUACCACGGUGUGGUUCAUGACUGGGGUGAAGUCGUAACAAGGUAACCA
rnacentral:rRNA from 1 species